rnacentral:rRNA from 1 species
AUUGAACGCUGGCGGCAGGCCUAACACAUGCAAGUCGAACGAGUGGCGGACGGGUGAGUAAUGUCUGGGAAACUGCCUGAUGGCGGGGGAUAACUACUGGAAACGGUAGCUAAUACCGCAUACCAUCAGAUGUGCCCAGAUGGGAUUAGCUUGUUGGUGGGGUAACGGCUCACAAAGGCGACGAUCCCUAGCUGGUCUGAGAGGAUGACCAGCCACACGGGAACUGAGACACGGUCCAGACUCCUACGGGAGGCAGCAGUGGGGAAUAUUGCACAAUGGGCGAAAGCCUGAUGCAGCAAUGCCGCGUGUAUGAAGAAGGCUUUCGGGUUGUAAAGUACUUUCGGCGGGGAGGCGGUAUCCGAAGAAGAAGCACCGGCUAACUCCGUGCCAGCAGCCGCGGUAAUAC